rnacentral:rRNA from 1 species
AGAGUUUGAUUAUGGCUCAGGAUGAACGCUGGCGGCGUGCCUAACACAUGCAAGUCGAGCGAUUCUCUUCGGAGAAGAGCGGCGGACGGGUGAGUAACGCGUGGGUAACCUGCCUCAUACACAUGGAUAACAUACCGAAAGGUAUGCUAAUACAGGAUAAUAUAAGAGAUUCACAUGGAUUUCUUAUCAAAGCUCCGGCGGUAUGAGAUGGACCCGCGUCUGAUUAGCUAGUUGGUAAGGUAACGGCUUACCAAGGCGACGAUCAGUAGCCGACCUGAGAGGGUGAUCGGCCACAUUGGAACUGAGACACGGUCCAAACUCCUACGGGAGGCAGCAGUGGGGAAUAUUGCACAAUGGGCGAAAGCCUGAUGCAGCAACGCCGCGUGAGUGAUGAAGGCCUUCGGGUCGUAAAACUCUGUCCUCAAGGAAGAUAAUGACGGUACUUGAGGAGGAAGCCCCGGCUAACUACGUGCCAGCCGCAGC